AGCCGGUCCAAAGGCAGUGAGUUAUCUCAGUUGAUUGUUUACAGUCAGUUACAGAUUGAACUCCUUGUUCUACUACUUUCCUCCCUUCUCACUACUUCAUUUGAAUAGUCUUAA
ensembl:misc_RNA Y_RNA Y RNA